rnacentral:rRNA from 1 species
GACGGCUACCACAUCUAAGGAAGGCAGCAGGCGCGCAAAUUACCCAAUCCUGACACAGCGAGGUAGUGACAAGAAAUAACAAUACAGGGCAAUUCGUCUGGUACUGUGGAAUGAUGGUGACGAAAUCUCACCAGAGUAACAAUUGAGGGCAAGUCUGGUGCCAGCAGCCGCGGUUAAUUCCAGCCAAUAGCGUAUAUUACAACUUGUUGGCAGUUAAAAAGCUCGUAGUUGAGUUUCUGCGUUGCCCCGACUCGGCUACUUGCCUUGUCUGGUUUCGCUUUUGGGGUUUUCCCCUUUUUACUUUGAGAAAAUUAAGUGAUUUCAAGCAGAC